UAUAGUCGCUACUUUGACGCAUUAUUUAUGUGUCUAAUUUCAUUAUUGCUCUUACAAUAAAUUUAAAAAAUAAAUGAUUGUUAAAAGAACAAAUUUUGAUAAUCAUCUAUUGAAUGAGUUAAAGAGAUACACGCAACAUAUUGAUUAUACACAUUUAACAUUAAUUUAAAUUUUAUAAAUGACUCUACAAAUUUCUGUUAAAUAGUAUGUAAUUGAAGAAGAUAUAAAAGUAAGCAAUUUUUUACUUAAAAGGGCUAAAAAGAUAUUUAUUACCUGCAGAGAGAAGAAAAAAAUAUACUAUGGCUCAAGUACUCUUGUUUUGUUAUGUUUUGAUAUUCUUCAUUACUAAAUUUCAUGUUAAAAAAACUGGAUUUCCCUGCCAAUCUGAUAGUCAAUGUCAAUUGUUUUUUACUCAGUUAAGUAAGUGUGUUGAUGGUUUCUGUGAGUACAAGGAACCAAAAUAAGCAUGUUUAAGAAUAAUUAUGUUACCUUUAUAGCUUAAUAUAUAUGGCAUAAUAUUUGUAUUCUUAUAAUGUACUUCAAAAUUUUAUUUUCAUUUCCCCAUCUUUCAUCUUUCAUGACAUAAUCUAAAAUGUAUUAGUACAAAUAAACUAAAAGAAAAUAAAAAUAGAUUGGAAUUGAACUCAAAACCGAAUUUAAUAGCACCACUCUACCAACAAGAAAGGAAAACACAAGUUGCUUCUAGUUGUUAAAUAAAAUGUCCUACCAAAGACGAGUAGUCUCAAAAAUCAAAUGGCGUCACCAUUUACUUAAAAGAGGUAGGAUAAAUAAAAGAAGGCCAUGAACUCCAAUAUCGCCGUUUUUUUUUGGUUUUACACCCAUCCUGUCAUCUAACCUAGUUAGGGAUCUUAACAUCACCAUUAACCCCUCGAACCUGUAAAGCUUGGCAAUCUUCUUCCACAUCUUAGUAGACAUUUUGAGAAAAGAUAGGAAGAAAAUAGCAAUUGCAUUCAGGAGAGGAAUGAGAAGUGUCACUUUGUCACUUAGGCUAACAUACAUAUGCUAGAAGUCAAUAUCUAAGUCUAUUAAAGGGGUUCACAUUAAUACUAAUAAGGAUGUUUUUGGAAAAAUUGACCGGAAGACCAGCGACAAGCUUAAACCCUUUAAGGAUAAUGAUAACUUUAAUAGUUCAAAUAUUCUCAAUCGAAGUCUCGACAACGAUUAAGGUAUCAUCGUCAUACUAAAUAUGAGAGAUAACUAAAUCUGAAGAAUUAAUCAUAAAACCAGACAGAAGAUCCAGACCCACUACUAAGCCCUUCCACAACUAAAAGGAAGAGAAAAUGGGCCAGUGGAUAUCUCUAUUUCAAACCUUAACUACGAUGUCCAAAUUACUAAAAAAUAUAUAAGCACACAAUCCAGGUGCGCCACUUAUCAGAAAAAUCAAACUUAACAAGCAUAUAAUUCAAAAAGCUCCAACUUAUAGAGUUAUGCCUUUUUCAAAAUCUACCUUAAAAACAAGACACUCUUUUAUUUUCUUAACAAGGUCAUUCACGACAUUCACAAGUACAACACCAUCAAUUAAAAAAUGACAUUUCAAGAACGUCAAUUGAUUAGACUGGACGGGAUAAACUUAUUCAUAAUUUUGACUAACAUAGCAAUUAAGAUUUUUGUCAUCAACUUAUAAAGAGAACCGACUAAAAAGAUAAGUCAAAAAUCUUUCAAACUAAUAGGCAACUCGGCCUUAGAGAUAAAACUAAAAACAACUUAGAAAAGAAGUGAAACUCAAAAAAAAAUCCUCCCUAAGAAGAGGCUAAUUAAUGCUCCUAGUGCUAAGAUUGCAAAAUAUAAAUUUUAACUUUGAUAUAAAAUGGUAUGGAAAAUAGUCAUUCUAUAAUCAUUUUAAUUUAUUUUUUUGGUUUUCGUACCAGUUUCCGACGUACAUAAUAGAUUGACUAAUCCGGCUCGUGCUACAGAGGCGCGUGUACUGGCCAAACAUUGUUUCUGCCAGGAACUAUAAUAAUUUUAAUUUAAUAAAUAAACAUUUUGUCACUACUUUGACACAUUAUUUAUGCGUUUAAUUUGCUUAUUACUAUUCAUGAUUGCUCUUACAAUAAAAAAAAUAACUUUGAUAAUCAUCUAUUAAGUGAGUUAAAGAGACACACGCAACAUAUUGAUUUAUAGACAUUUAACAUUAAUUUAAAUUUUAUAAAUGACUUCUUGCAAUCUCUAUGGCUCAAGUACUCUUGUUUUAUUGUUAUGCUUUGAUAUUCUUCAUUACUAAAUUUUGUUUCAAAAAAACUGGAUUUCCCUGCCAAUCUGAUUUUCAAUGUCGAUUGUUUUUUACUCUGUUAAGUAAGUGUGUUGAUGGUUUCUGUGAGUACAAGGAAUUAGAAUAAUCAUGUUUAAGAAUAAUUAUAUAUGUUGCCAUUUAGCAUAUAGUUUAAUUUAUAUGGUAUAAUAUUUGUAUUAAUGUACUUAUAAAUUUUAUUUUCAUUUCUCCAAUUUUUCAACUUUCAUGAAAAACUCAAAAAUGUAUUAGUAUAAAUAAAUUAAAAGAGAAUAUAGAUAUACCUAGUUUAAAACUUACUCUAAAAGUUUUAAGUUGGAAAAAAUCUAGUUAGAGAAAAAAAUGUAAAUUAUUAUUUAGUAAAACUUUAUGUUAAAAAACAUUUUAUUCUCCCCUAAGCAGGACAAUAAUCUCCUAAACUAAGGAGAAAAAUAUGUUGUAUCAAUUGUUCAAAAGCUGUAUUUGGAAGUGAUCACACAAACAAAAUUGUUACAACUAUUGUGAAGAUGAUAUGUGAAAAAGAAUGCUUGAGAGGUUUUGUUUUAUUAUAUUUCAUGUAUAUCUCUUUCUAUUUAACAACACAUGAAAAAUUAUCUUUAUAAAUAGUUGUUCAACUUUGAAUUAUGUUUUAAAACCUUUGAAUGAUUAAUUGAUAGAAAAUAUUUUUUGAAAUUGUCAAAAAUUAGAAAGUCGGAAGGUAGGUCUGAUUUAAUUUUUUAUUGUUAUUGUUCUUUGUUCCCACGCAUCAAUUCUUUUAGUGUGAUUUAACUCUAAAUAAUUCUUCUUAAAUAUUUUGGGAUGUUCCAUAGUUCAAAAGAGAAUAUGUUUGGGAUGCUCCACCUCUCUCAUAAGAGAAUUAGGAAAAAUCACUCUCUAGUCUAGCUCCAAAAAGUCUUCCAUAAAUAUGAGAUGGUGGUCUCCAAUCUUUCUCUCAUAAAGCCAUACUCAGAGCUUCUCAUAAUCCUAAUCCUACGUAAGAUAGCUCUAAACACAACCAAAUAACCUAACACAGUAGAUAGUCCUACACAUUAAGGGGUUGUUUUCAUUGUACCUUUUUUAAAAUUACAAUCGGUAUCCACCAUGGGGUCUGGUAAAACUGACUUGGGUCAGUCUCAUUUUCAUUCACCAAACACCUUAAUUUUGUUCUCCAACAUGAUGGUGGAAUGAGCACCAACGCCCACUGACGUAGAUGUGACCAUGAAUACCAUAGCAGAAGGGCUCGUCGGUGGUGGAGAAUCCAAUUGUUUUUGCCGGAAGAAUGGUCGGCAUGUUUUGACAACAAUCGUCGUACUCGCUAGCCUUAAGGAAGAUUCGAAAAAGAAUUCAAAGCCCAAAAUCACUUUUUUCCCAUAGAGAUGUCGUCGGCAUCCAGCUCCCACAUAAAAAUGACCUUAUGGUCAUCACAGUGCAAUACGAUGAUUUGUACAUAAAGUGAGUACAGGUUUAUCUUGGAUGCUCAAUAGACGUCAUAUUCUAGGACACUUUUGAGAGACUACAGCUUGAUCCAUAUGACAUUUAGACAUGUCAUGGCCCCCUAGCCGGUCUCUCUGACGAACACGUACAAAAUGAAGGCCACAUAAGCCUCCAGACAACGUUCGAAUUAAACGAGAACAUGAAGACAAUUAAGAUGAGAUACCUCGUAGUAGAUAUGCCUCAUCGUCGUACAACAUCAUCGUGAGGAGACCCACCACCCUCAAUCUGUUGGGGCCGUUUUAUCCAAUCUACACUUAAGCAUGAAGUACCCUUUACAUAACGGGAGGGUUGGAGUUAUCCAAGGGGACCAAGAGAUAGCCCAGAAUGUUAUCCAAGCAACCUCGAAAUGAGAAAAUAGAAAAGUGGGGAUGGUCGGCGCCGCCAUUUCACAGCUAGGCGCACGGGGAGUGAAUGCUGCAAACUUAUAUCCCAUAAUAGAAAUUGAAAAUGAAAGGCUCACUCCCACAAAGGAACUAAAAGACGUCUGAAUUGGGCCAAUAGAUUUUUAAGUCACCAAAUGGGCACCUCUUUAUCUAAAACAAAGGAAGAUGAAUCGUUUGCCUUGCUAAGGAGGAAUGUCAUUUUAUUUUCCUAGACGUCUGCCGACAUGCUAGGAAUAAACGCUAGGGUGGUCUGUCACCGUCUCGCCGUUAAAUCCAUUGUGAAGCUACUGUCUCAGAGAAAGCGCAAAGUGGGCAAGGAGAAAUAGGCGACGGUCGAUGAGAAGGUUGAGAAAUUGAAGAGUGUAUGCCUCAUAAUAAAGGUCAAGUUAUCCGACCUAGCUGACUAACAUGGUCUUGGUUCGAAAUAUAUCGAAUAAAUGGUACAUGUGCGUCAAUUUCACUAACUUGAACGCCACCUAAGGAUCCAUAUCAACUACCAAACAUUAACCGACUGAUUGAUGGGUCCUUAGGCUACAAAACCUUGAGCUUCAUGGAUGCUUAUUCAGACUACCAUAAGAUAAAGAUGAAUCAUUUGGACGCAUCCAAAAUAGGCACCACCUACCAGAGGCUAAUGGAUGCAAUUUUCUCAAAAUAAAUAGGGCAAGAUUUGGAUGUCUACAUCGAUGGUAUGAUUGUGAACACUUCAUAGAGGAGAAACCAUUGUGCAGACUUGAAAGACAUCAUUAAGUCGCUCCAGAAGUAUAUCAUGUGUUUAAAUCCCGCCAAGUACUCCUUCGACGUACAAUAGGGCUGUGCAAAAAAACCGGUUAUCCUUAACCAAAUUGAUAUCCAAAUUAUUCCACUUUUUAAAACCCAAUCCAAAUGCUAAAAUAUAAAAUCGGGUACCCAUUUUGUUAUCCAAAUAUAAACCGGUACCCAUAAUAAUAAUUUGGUUUAGUUAUUGGAUACCCACAUUUCAUUAUAUAUUAAAUUUAUACGUUUUUUUUUCAUGGUUCAUCAUAUACAUAUAUUAAAGUUAAAUUUCUCUAAUAACAUAUUAAUAAAUUAUAAUAUAAUUUUAAUUUUACUGUAUAAAAUUUCUAUACUUAAGUUUAUCCAUAUUUAAUGAUUAACUUUUCUAAAUCAAA